CAUGAACCACUAACCAGCUAUUAACUAAAUGAUUCAAAACUGUUAAAAGCGAAGAGAAGUUCUCUAUCUGUUCGACGGUGAAUGUAUCUCUCAUCUGAUACACCGAGGUUGCUUAAGCAAUUCCCACAACACUUUAAAGAUCUACACAGCAGAUGGGAGCGAAGAAGCCUAUCUGCAGGAGAAAACUGGUGAAGUUAUUGCAUUGACUGGAGAACAUGCACACAGCUGAAAUGGACCUUCUGUUUUUGAUCUGUGGUGAAUAAAAGGAUACAGAAAUGAGCAAGCGGAUGCAUCUGAUGGUGAUAAUAAGACCACAGCUGCAGUGAGACAACCACACACAAGUCAUCCUAGAGAGCCCCGUGGUGGAAGCCCUACCAAUGCAUGGAAAGCAGAGCUCCCCAAGAUGUCUGAGAAGCUGCAGCAGCCUGAGUAAUCAUUGUUCAAGGUGAAGUGCCAGAGCCCUACUCAGGGUCAGUGGGAGGCACUCCACCUGGAACUGCUCCUGGAGACCCCAGACACAUUUUUCCAUUUCUCUUCAGGCCUUGGCACCUCCCUGGGUCUGCACAAGCCCACUGCAGAAUGGCUGGCCAGCGUGGAUGGGAAGGACACAUUAAGGCUCAAUUUCGCACACACUUGCAUUUAUGAGCUGAGUCAAGAACUCGUGUUCUUUUUAGCAGUAAAAUACUCCUAGUAUUAAAAUAAUUCU